UAACACGUGAGCAACCUGCCUUUCAGAGGGGGAUAACAGUUGGAAACGACUGCUAAUACCGCAUAACGCUGCGAUGGGGCAUCCCGAUGCAGCCAAAGGAGCAAUCCGCUGAAAGAUGGGCUCGCGGCCGAUUAGCUAGUUGGUGGGGCAACGGCCCACCAAGGCGACGAUCGGUAGCCGGACUGAGAGGUUGAUCGGCCACAUUGGGACUGAGACACGGCCCAGACUCCUACGGGAGGCAGCAGUGGGGGAUAUUGCACAAUGGAGGAAACUCUGAUGCAGCGACGCCGCGUGAGGGAAGACGGUCUUCGGAUUGUAAACCUCUGUCUUUGGGGAAGAAAAUGACGGUACCCAAAGAGGAAGCUCCGGCUAACUACGUGCCAGCAGCCGCGGUAAUACGUGGGGAGCGAGCGUUGUCCGGAAUUACUGGGUGUAAAGGGAGCGUAGGCGGGCGAGAAAGUUGAAUGUUAAAUCUACCGGCUUAACUGGUAGCUGCGUUCAAAACUUCUUGUCUUGAGUGAAGUAGAGGCAGGCGGAAUUCCUAGUGUAGCGGUGAAAUGCGUAGAUAUUAGGAGGAACACCAGUGGCGAAGGCGGCCUGCUGGGCUUUAACUGACGCUGAGGCUCGAAAGCGUGGGUAGCAAACAGGAUUAGAUACCCUGGUAGU
rnacentral:rRNA from 1 species